GUGCUGGCUUUGGUGGCACAUAUCCUAAAAUCGGAACAAUACAGAGAUUAGCAUGGCCCCUGUGCAAGGAUGACACACAAAUUCGUGAAGCAUUCCAUCUUUUU
ensembl:snRNA U6 U6 spliceosomal RNA